CUACGGGAUGCAGCAGUGGGGAAUAUUGCACAAUGGACGCAAGCCUGAUGCAGCCAUGCCGCGUGUAUGAAGAAGGCCUUCGGGUUGUAAAGUACUUUCAGCGGGGAGGAAGGGAGUAAAGUUAAUACCUUUGCUCAUUGACGUUACCCGCAGAAGAAGCACCGGCUAACUCCGUGCCAGCAGCCGCGGUAAUACGGAGGGUGCAAGCGUUAAUCGGAAUUACUGGGCGUAAAGCGCACGCAGGCGGUUUGUUAAGUCAGAUGUGAAAUCCCCGGGCUCAACCUGGGAACUGCAUCUGAUACUGGCAAGCUUGAGUCUCGUAGAGGGGGGUAGAAUUCCAGGUGUAGCGGUGAAAUGCGUAGAGAUCUGGAGGAAUACCGGUGGGGAAGGCGGCCCCCUGGACGAAGACUGACGCUCAGGUGCGAAAGCGUGGGGAGCAAACAGGAUUAGAUACCCUAGUAGUC
rnacentral:rRNA from 1 species